rnacentral:rRNA from 1 species
GAUGAACGCUAGCUACAGGCUUAACACAUGCAAGUCGAGGGGUAACGAGAGGAAAGCUUGCUUUCCUUGUCGACGACCGGCGCACGGGUGAGUAACGCGUAUCCAACCUGCCCCCAACUAGGGAAUAACCUUGCGAAAGUAAGACUAAUACCCUAUAAUUUCCUCAGAUGUCAUCUGACGAGGAAUAAAGAUUUAUCGGUUGUGGAUGGGGAUGCGUCUGAUUAGCUUGUUGGCGGGGUAACGGCCCACCAAGGCAACGAUCAGUAGGGGUUCUGAGAGGAAGGUCCCCCACAUUGGAACUUAGACACGGUCCAAACUCCUACGGGAGGCAGCAGUGAGGAAUAUUGGUCAAUGGGCGGAAGCCUGAACCAGCCAAGUAGCGUGCAAGAUGACGGCCCUAUGGGUUGUAAACUGCUUUUAUACAGGAAUAAAGUUAGCCACGUGUGGUUAUUUGUAGGUACUGUAUGAAUAAGGACCGGCUAAUUCCGUGCCAGCCGCCGCAGUAA